AUACCCGAUAGGUCUCGAUUGCUGGAAUGCAUCGAGAUUUAAAGCUCCGGCGCCUAAGGAUGGGUCUGCGGCCUAUCAGGUAGUAGUGGGUGUAGCGUACCUACUAGCCUACGACGGGUACGGGUUGUGAGAGCAAGAGCCCGGAGAUGGAUUCUGAGACACGAAUCCAGGCCCUACGGGGUGCAGCAGGCGCGAAAACUUUACAAUGCUGGCAACAGCGAUAAGGGAACCUCGAGUGCCAGGUUACAAAUCUGGCUGUCGAGAUGCCUAAAAAGCAUUUCAUAGCAAGGGCCGGGCAAGACCGGUGCCAGCCGCCGCGGUAACACCGGCGGCUCGAGUGGUAACCGUUAUUAUUGGGUCUAAAGGGUCUGUAGCCGGCCGGAUAAGUCUCUUGAGAAAUCUGGCAGCUUAACUGUCAGGCUUUCAGGAGAUACUGUCUGGCUCGAGGCCGGGAGAGGUGAGAGGUACUUCAGGGGUAGGGGUGAAAUCUUGUAAUCCUUGAAGGACCACCAGUGGCGAAGGCGUCUCACCAGAACGGACCUGACGGCAAGGGACGAAAGCUAGGGGCACGAACCGGAUUAGAUACCCGGGUAGUCCUAGCCGUAAACGAUACUCGCUAGGUGUCGGCCACGGUGCGACCGUUGUCGGUGCCGUAGGGAAGCCGUGAAGCGAGCCACCUGGGAAGUACGGCCGCAAGGCUGAAACUUAAAGGAAUUGGCGGGGGAGCACC
rnacentral:rRNA from 1 species